rnacentral:rRNA from 1 species
GACGAUACGCUGGCGUCGAGGGUCACACACACAAGUCGAGCGGAAAGGUGCUUCGGGAUACUCGAGCGGCGAACGGGUGAGUAACACGUGUGUAAGACGCGCUCAGCUCUGAGAUAUCCCUGAGAAUCUGGGUGUAAGAUCGGAUAUAGACACGCGUCAGCAAUAAGUGUGUGUGGAAAGUUGAUCGGCUGGAGAGUGACUCGCGGCCUAUCAGCUUGUUGNUGGGGUACAAGCCUACCAACACGAUGACGGGUAAGAGCCCGGACAGGCCGACCGGCCACGAUACGAGUGAGACACUCCUCAGAGUCGUACCGGUGGCAACAGUGGGGCAUAUGAGGCAAUUGGGGAAAACCCGACGCAGCAGCAGGGCGAGAGUGAUGACGGCCGUAAGGUUGUAAACUUCUGUAAGCACCGACUAAGCUUUAGGGUGUCGGUAGGUGCCGAAGAAACAACCGCUAACUACCUCCCAGCAACCACGGUAAUUAAUAGGGAGCGAGCAAUGUCCGUAAUUAUUGGGCGUAAAGAAAGGGUAGGUAGUCGGAAUUGUAAGUCCGAAAGCCCUGUGCUUAACCCCGUGUGAACAGUGGAUUCUGGCAGGCUAGAGUCCGGCAGGGGGGGCUGGACGGAAUGGUGUAGCGGUGGAAUGAACAGAUAUCAGGAGGAACACCGGUGGCGAAGGCGGCUCUCUGGGCCGGUCAAGUCGCUGAGGAGCGAAAGCGUGGGGAGCGAACAGGACUAGAUUCCAUGGUAGUGCACUCCGUAAACUAUGGGCGGUAGGCGUGGGUUCCCUUCCACGGGAUCCGUGUCGUAGCUAACGCAUUAAGCGCUCCGCCUGGGGAGUACGGCCGCAAGGUUAAAACUCAAAUGAAUUGACGGGG